UGAAUAUAGUGGUUUGCAGGUUCGUGCAUAUUUUUAUGCCGAUUAAAAGGGAAGCAGGUGAGAUUCCUGCACGGUCCCGCCGCUGUGAUGGGGAGACUCUUCAGAUUAUUGCCACUGGGAGACUGGGAAGGCAUGAAGAGUUGAUGAACCUAAGUCAGAAGACCUGCCUGCAGACAACACCGGAA
rnacentral:ncRNA from 2 species